CGAACGCUGGCGGCAUGCCUCACACAUGCAAGUCGCACGAGACCUUCGGGUCUAGUGGCGCACGGGUGCGUAACGCGUGGGAACCUGCCCUUAGGUUCGGAAUAACUCCCCGAAAGGGGUGCUAAUACCGGAUAAUGUCUUCGGACCAAAGAUUUAUCGCCUUUGGAUGGGCCCGCGUUGGAUUAGCUAGUUGGUAGGGUAAAAGCCUACCAAGGCGACGAUCCAUAGCUGGUCUGAGAGGAUGAUCAGCCACACUGGGACUGAGACACGGCCCAGACUCCUACGGGAGGCAGCAGUGGGGAAUAUUGGACAAUGGGCGAAAGCCUGAUCCAGCAAUGCCGCGUGAGUGAUGAAGGCCUUAGGGUUGUAAAGCUCUUUUACCCGGGAUGAUAAUGACAGUACCGGGAGAAUAAGCGCCGGCUAACUCCGUG
rnacentral:rRNA from 1 species